UUUUUUAGAGAUACAACGCAAGUGUCACAUUAUGAUAGUAACAAAUAAAAGGAAACCUUUACGGGUUUAUGAUAAUGAUGUACAUAGGGAAACCUUAUUUAGGAAGGUUCCCUACAUAUAGGGAUAAUGACAGGUAAUGAAACCCAUAUAUGUGUUUAAGGAUAGGUAAGGUAAUAUGCAAGCAUGACCUAGCUAAGGUGGUCUUC
rnacentral:lncRNA from 1 species